rnacentral:rRNA from 1 species
CUCCGACUCAGAGAGUUUGAUCAUGGCUCAAGGACGAACGCUGGCGGCAUGCCUAACACAUGCAAGUCUAGGGGUAGCAAUACCACUGGCGCACGGGUGAGUAACACGUAGGUUAUCUGCCCCCAUCACAGACAUAACCCCGGGAAACCGGGGCUAAUAUCUGAUGAGGUCGCGAGAUCAAAGCUUCGGCGGAUGGGGAUGAGCCUGCGGCUGAUUAGCUAGUUGGUGAGGUAAUGGCUCACCAAGGCGACGAUCAGUAGCUGGUCUGAGAGGACGAACAGCCACACUGGAACUGAGACACGGUCCAGACUCCUACGGGAGGCAGCAGUGAGGAAUAUUGGUCAAUGGGAGCAAUCCUGAACCAGCAAUGCCGCGUGUGGGAUGACAGGGCUUCGCCUUGUAAACCACUGUCGGACGGGACGAAAGGAGGCCUCGGGCCUCUGGGACGGUACCGUCAAAGGAAGGGUCGGCUAACUACGUG